rnacentral:rRNA from 1 species
AGAGAGAGACAUGCGCGCAUAUCAAUAAGCGGAGGAAAAGAAACUAACAAGGAUUCCCCUAGUAACGGCGAGUGAAGCGGGAAGAGCUCAAAUUUGAAAUCUUAAAGGGUUUCCCUUUACGAAUUGUAGUUUAAAGAAGUGUUUUCUGUUGAGGUUUUGGUAAAAGUUCUUUGGAAUAGGACAUCAUAGAGGGUGAGAAUCCCGUAUUUGACCUUUACUUUCAACUUUGUGAUACACUUUCAAAGAGUCGGAUUGUUUGGAAUGCAGUCCAAAAUGGGUGGUAAAUUUCAUCUAAAGCUAAAUAUUGGCGAGAGACCGAUAGCGAACAAGUACCGUGAGGGAAAGAUGAAAAGAACUUUGAAAAGAGAGUUAAACAGUACGUGAAAUUGUCAAAAGGGAAGCGUUUGACACCAGUGUUGUUUUUCUGAAAAUCAAUUAAAGAACUGUUUAUGCUAAGUUGUUUAGACUUUAUCAGCUAACUGUUUAGUUUUGAGCUUUUCUUUAAUGCACUUUUCAGCUAACAAGUCAACAUCAAUUUCUUUUGCUGUAAAAAAGCUUGAGGAAGGUGGCUUGAGAUUCGUCUUAAGUGUUUAUAGCCUCUUGCCUAUGCAGUCGGAGAGAUUGAGGUCUGCAGCGUAGAUCCUUCGGGGCUAAAUGCAUUUGUGCUAAGUUAUAGCAUUUUAUAGACAACCUGUUGACUAUGACUUGUCUUGUAGCUUACUCGCUUAUGUUAUUUUACCUACGCUUAGGAUGUUGAGCGCAUGUCUCUCUCU